UGGGGAAUAUUGCACAAUGGGCGCAAGCCUGAUGCAGCCAUGCCGCGUGUGUGAAGAAGGCCUUCGGGUUGUAAAGCACUUUCAGCGAGGAGGAAGGGUAGUGUGUUAAUAGCACAUUGCAUUGACGUUACUCGCAGAAGAAGCACCGGCUAACUCCGUGCCAGCAGCCGCGGUAAUACGGAGGGUGCAAGCGUUAAUCGGAAUUACUGGGCGUAAAGCGCACGCAGGCGGUUUGUUAAGUCAGAUGUGAAAUCCCCGCGCUUAACGUGGGAACUGCAUUUGAAACUGGCAAGCUAGAGUCUUGUAGAGGGGGGUAGAAUUCCAGGUGUAGCGGUGAAAUGCGUAGAGAUCUGGAGGAAUACCGGUGGCGAAGGCGGCCCCCUGGACAAAGACUGAC
rnacentral:rRNA from 1 species